rnacentral:tRNA from 1 species
GGCAGCAUGGUAGAGUGGUUAAUACGUAAGACUUGAAUGAAAUCAUUCAGCCAUCUUAUGCCUUCGGGCGCGCAGGUUCGAACCCUGCUGCUGUCG